AUCGAACGCUGGCGGCAUGCCUUACACAUGCAAGUCGAACGGUAACAGGUCUUCGGAUGCUGACGAGUGGCGAACGGGUGAGUAAUGCAUCGGAACGUGCCCAGUAGUGGGGGAUAGCGCGGCGAAAGCCGGAUUAAUACCGCAUACGACCUGAGGGUGAAAGGGGGGGAUCGCAAGACCUUGCGCUAUUGGAGCGGCCGAUGUCAGAUUAGCUAGUUGGUGGGGUAAAGGCCUACCAAGGCAACGAUCUGUAGUUGGUCUGAGAGGACGACCAGCCACACUGGGACUGAGACACGGCCCAGACUCCUACGGGAGGCAGCAGUGGGGAAUUUUGGACAAUGGGCGCAAGCCUGAUCCAGCAAUGCCGCGUGCAGGAAGAAGGCCUUCGGGUUGUAAACUGCUUUUGUCAGGGAAGAAAUCUUCUGGGUUAAUACCUCGGGAGGAUGACGGUACCUGAAGAAUAAGCACCGGCUAACUACGUGCCAGCCGCCGCGGUAAAAC
rnacentral:rRNA from 1 species